AGAGUUUGAUUAUGGCUCAGAAUCAACGCUGGCGGCGUGCCUAACACAUGCAAGUCGCACGAGAAAGGGUAGCAAUACCUGAGUAAAGUGGCGCACGGGUGAGUAACACGUGAAUCAUCUACCUUCGAGUGGGGAAUAACUGGGAGAAAUCCUGGCUAAUACCGCAUAAUAUCUACGGAUCAAAGCAGCAAUGCGCUUGAAGAGGAGUUCGCGGCAGAUUAGUUAGUUGGCGGGGUAAUGGCCCACCAAGACGAUGAUCUGUAUCCGGCCUGAGAGGGCGCACGGACACACUGGAACUGAAACACGGUCCAGACUCCUACGGGAGGCAGCAGUGGGGAAUUUUGCGCAAUGGGGGAAACCCUGACGCAGCAACGCCGCGUGGAGGAUGAAAUCCCUUGGGAUGUAAACUCCUUUCGAUAGGGAAGAUAAUGACGGUACCUAUAGAAGAAGCCCCGGCUAACUUCGUGCCAGCAGCCGCGGUAAUACGAGGGGGGCAAGCGUUGUUCGGAAUUAUUGGGCGUAAAGGGUGCGUAGGCGGUUUGACAAGUCAUCUGUGAAAUCUAUGGGCUCAACCCAUAGUCUGCAGGCGAAACUGUCGGGCUUGAGUAUGGGAGAGGUGAGUGGAAUUUCCGGUGUAGCGGUGAAAUGCGUAGAUAUCGGAAGGAACACCUGUGGCGAAAGCGGCUCACUGAACCAUAACUGACGCUGAUGCACGAAAGCUAGGGGAGCAAACAGGAUUAGAUACCCUGGUAGUCCUAGCCCUAAACGAUGAUUGCUUGAUGUGGGGGGU
rnacentral:rRNA from 1 species